AUUUCACCAUCAGUCUCUUCGCCAUCGUCUUCCUCGCAUCCUUCUCCGUGAUCGCCGUCGAAGAAUCCUCCGGUGAAAGCGUUUCGGUGGCAAGAUCUUGGAUCGUGUGAAAUAAGGGAGACAUAACUUGAACUCGAUUGAUAGAAGAUGUUGUCACGAGAGAUCGAAAGCACAUCUGUGAUCUGUCGCAAAGCUUUGAUCGAGACGAGAAAUAUUUGCAGGUCUUCAAAAGGAAAGAAGGAGACAAAGAUGAAAGAUGUUUUUUUUUUUGGUUUUUGAUUGAUAUCGAAGAAACGAAAUUUAUAAGCAACGGCUCCAUUGAAAAUAAGGAAAUUUUGCUCUUGUUACAUUACCGUUACAAC